rnacentral:rRNA from 1 species
UGGGGAAUAUUGCACAAUGGGCGAAAGCCUGAUGCAGCAACGCCGCGUGAGUGAUGAAGGUCUUCGGAUUGUAAAGCUCUGUCUUUUGGGACGAUAAUGACGGUACCAAAGGAGGAAGCCACGGCUAACUACGUGCCAGCAGCCGCGGUAAUACGUAGGUGGCGAGCGUUGUCCGGAUUUACUGGGCGUAAAGGGUGCGUAGGCGGAUGUUUAAGUGAGAUGUGAAAUACCCGGGCUUAACUUGGGUGCUGCAUUUCAAACUGGAUAUCUAGAGUGCAGGAGAGGAGAAUGGAAUCCCUAGUGUAGCGGUGAAAUGCGUAGAGAUUAGGAAGAACACCAGUGGCGAAGGCGAUUCUCUGGACUGUAACUGACGCUGAGGCACGAAAGCGUGGGUAGCAAACAGGAUUAGAUACCCUGGUAGUCCACGCCGUAAACGAUGAGUACUAGGUGUAGGAGGUAUCGACCCCUUCUGUGCCGCAGUAAACACAUUAAGUACUCCGCCUGGGAAGUACGAUCGCAAG